GAUGAACGCUGGCGGCGUGCCUAAUACAUGCAAGUCGAGCGAACGGACGAGAAGCUUGCUUCUCUGAUGUUAGCGGCGGACGGGUGAGUAACACGUGGAUAACCUACCUAUAAGACUGGGAUAACUUCGGGAAACCGGAGCUAAUACCGGAUAAUAUUUUGAACCGCAUGGUUCAAAAGUGAAAGACGGUCUUGCUGUCACUUAUAGAUGGAUCCGCGCUGCAUUAGCUAGUUGGUAAGGUAACGGCUUACCAAGGCAACGAUGCAUAGCCGACCUGAGAGGGUGAUAGGCCACACUGGAACUGAGACACGGUCCAGACUCCUACGGGAGGCAGCAGUAGGGAAUCUUCCGCCAUGGGCGCAAGCCUGACGGAGCAACGCCGCGUGAGUGAUGAAGGUCUUCGGAUCGUAAAACUCUGUUAUUAGGGAAGAACAUAUGUGUAAGUAACUGUGCACAUCUUGACGGUACCUAAUCAGAAAGCCACGGCUAACUACGUG
rnacentral:rRNA from 1 species